rnacentral:rRNA from 1 species
CCAUCAUUUAAAGAAAGCGUAAUAGCUCACUGGUCGAGUCGGCCUGCGCGGAAGAUGUAACGGGGCUAAACCAUGCACCGAAGCUGCGGCAGCGACGCUUAUGCGUUGUUGGGUAGGGGAGCGUUCUGUAAGCCUGUGAAGGUGUGCUGUGAGGCAUGCUGGAGGUAUCAGAAGUGCGAAUGCUGACAUAAGUAACGAUAAAGCGGGUGAAAAGCCCGCUCGCCGGAAGACCAAGG